UUGAUCCUGGCUCAGAAUCAACGCUGGCGGCGUGCCUAACACAUGCAAGUCGAACGCGAAAGGGGAGCAACCCCUGAGUAGAGUGGCAAACGGGUGAGUUACACGUGGGUGACCUGCCUUCGAGUGGGGGAUAACGUCCCGAAAGGGGCUCUAAUACCGCAUGACAUCCUGUCCUUGGACGGACGGAGAUCAAAGCUGGUGAUCGCAAGACCUGGCGCUUGAAGAGGGGCCCGCGCCUGAUUAGCUAGUUGGUGGGGUAACGGCUCACCAAGGCGACGAUCAGUAUCCGGCCUGAGAGGUCGGACGGACACACUGGGACUGAGACACGGCCCAGACUCCUACGGGAGGCUGCAGUGGGGAAUUGUUCGCAAUGGGCGAAAGCCUGACGACGCAACGCCGUGUGGAGGACGAAGAUCUUCGGGUCGUAAACUCCUGUCGAGCGGGAAGAAUAAUCCGCGGUUGAAUAUGCCGCGGAAUUGACGGUACCGCUAAAGGAAGCUCCGGCUAACUCCGUGCCAGCAGCCGCGGUAAUAAGGU
rnacentral:rRNA from 1 species